rnacentral:rRNA from 1 species
AUUGAACGCUGGCGGAAUGCUUUACACAUGCAAGUCGAACGGCAGCACGGACUUCGGUCUGGUGGCGAGUGGCGAACGGGUGAGUAAUGUAUCGGAACGUGCCCAGUCGUGGGGGAUAACGUAGGGAAAAUUACGCUAAUACCGCAUACGAUCUAUGGGUGAAAGCGGGGGAUCGCAAGACCUCGCGCGAUUGGAGCGGCCGAUAUCAGAUGAGGUAGUUGGUGGGGUCAAGGCCCACCAAGCCAACGAUCUGUAGCUGGUCUGAGAGGACGACCAGCCACACUGGAACUGAGACACGGUCCAGACUCCUACGGGAGGCAGCAGUGGGGAAUUUUGGACAAUGGGCGAAAGCCUGAUCCAGCCAUUCCGCGUGCAGGAUGAAGGCCCUCGGGUUGUAAACUGCUUUUGUACAGAACGAAAAGGUUUCUACUAAUACUAGGAGCUCAUGACGGUACUGUAAGAAUAAGCACCGGCUAACUACGUGCCAGCAGCCGCGGUAA